CUUAUCUGGUAAAGCGAAUGAUUAGAGGCCUUAGGGUCGAAACGAUCUUAACCUAUUCUCAAACUUUAAAUGGGUAAGAACCUUAACUUUCUUGAUAUGAAGUUCAAGGUUAUGAUAUAAUGUGCCCAGUGGGCCACUUUUGGUAAGCAGAACUGGCGCUGUGGGAUGAACCAAACGUAAUGUUACGGUGCCCAAAUUAACAACUCAUGCAGAUACCAUGAAAGGCGUUGGUUGCUUAAAACAGCAGGACGGUGAUCAUGGAAGUCGAAAUCCGCUAAGGAGUGUGUAACAACUCACCUGCCGAAGCAACUAGCCCUUAAAAUGGAUGGCGUUUAAGUUGUAUACCUAUACAUUACCGCUAAAGUAGAUGAUUUAUAUUACUUGUGAUAUAAAUUUUGAAACUUUAGUGAGUAGGAAGGUACAAUGGUAUGCGUAGAAGUGUUUGGCGUAAGCCUGCAUGGAGCUGCCAUUGGUACAGAUCUUGGUGGUAGUAGCAAAUAAUCGAAUGAGACCUUGGAGGACUGAAGUGGAGAAGGGUUUCGUGUGAACAGUGGUUGAUCACGAGUUAGUCGGUCCUAAGUUCAAGGCGAAAGCCGAAAAUUUUCAAGUAAAACAAAAAUGCCUAACUAUAUAAACAAAGCGAAUUAUAAUACACUUGAAUAAUUUUGAACGAAAGGGAAUACGGUUCCAAUUCCGUAACCUGUUGAGUAUCCGUUUGUUAUUAAAUAUGGGCCUCGUGCUCAUCCUGGCAACAGGAACGACCAUAAAGAAGCCGUCGAGAGAUAUCGGAAGAGUUUUCUUUUCUGUUUUAUAGCCGUACUACCAUGGAAGUCUUUCGCAGAGAGAUAUGGUAGAUGGGCUAGAAGAGCAUGACAUAUACUGUUGUGUCGAUAUUUUCUCCUCGGACCUUGAAAAUUUAUGGUGGGGACACGCAAACUUCUCAACAGGCCGUACCAAUAUCCGCAGCUGGUCUCCAAGGUGAAGAGUCUCUAGUCGAUAGAAUAAUGUAGGUAAGGGAAGUCGGCAAAUUAGAUCCGUAACUUCGGGAUAAGGAUUGGCUCUGAAGAUUGAGAUAGUCGGGCUUGAUUGGGAAACAAUAACAUGGUUUAUGUGCUCGUUCUGGGUAAAUAGAGUUUCUAGCAUUUAUGUUAGUUACUUGUUCCCCGGAUAGUUUAGUUACGUAGCCAAUUGUGGAACUUUCUUGCUAAAAUUUUUAAGAAUACUAUUUGGUUUAAACCAAUUAGUUCUUAUUAAUUAUAACGAUUAUCAAUUAACAAUCAAUUCAGAACUGGCACGGACUUGGGGAAUCCGACUGUCUAAUUAAAACAAAGCAUUGUGAUGGCCCUAGCGGGUGUUGACACAAUGUGAUUUCUGCCCAGUGCUCUGAAUGUCAAAGUGAAGAAAUUCAAGUAAGCGCGGGUCAACGGCGGGAGUAACUAUGACUCUCUUAAGGUAGCCAAAUGCGACAUACAAAUUGUGACAGACGGACACUCUAUGGAUGAUGCGCACCAGCGCAAAAUCAAUAGAUACGACAGACCGGACAUACGAACUGAAUUGCGUCGCAGAUUCGAAGCCGCAGGUGACAUUGAAUUCCAUUCUGCCACCCUGAACUGGAGGGGGAUCUGGAGUGGUCAAUCCGUUAAAAGAUUGAUAGCAAAGGGUCUCCUCAGCAAAUAUGAUAGUCAUAUCAUUAGCGUCCAGGUUAUGAGAGGCAGUCUCGGUUGUUUUAAACAGUUCAUGUACCUGAGCGGGUUUUCCCGAGAUUGGACUUAGCUAAAUCGUUUGGUUCAAAACAUUUGCUUGCUGUCUUGGCAUAACAUCAAUAAAGGCAUAAACAUCGCAAAAUAAUGGUUAUAAUUAAAUGGCUAUGAGGAUGGUUUUAGUACGUAGGCGUUGCGGAACUUCGGUUCAUAUAGAGCAAUGAAUCGUGCAUGCUAGGAAAACUGACCACACACAGUGUUGGCAGACCUAGUAUCUUUCGAAGAUUUCCAUACCUCCGCGAUCAAAAAAAAAAAAAAAAAAAAAAAAAAAAAUAGCCAAAUGCCUCGUCAUCUAAUUAGUGACGCGCAUGAAUGGAUUAACGAGAUUCCUACUGUCCCUAUCUACUAUCUAGCGAAACCACAGCCAAGGGAACGGGCUUGGAAUAAUUAGCGGGGAAAGAAGACCCUUUUGAGCUUGACUCUAAUCUGGCAGUGUAAGGAGACAUAAGAGGUGUAGAAUAAGUGGGAGAUAUUAGACCUCGGUUUGGUAUCGUCAAUGAAAUACCACUACUCUUAUUGUUUCCUUACUUACUUGAUUAAAUGGAACGUGUAUCAUUUCCUAGCCAUUAUACGGAUAUAUUUAUUAUAUCUUAUGGUAUUGGGUUUUGAUGCAAGCUUCUUGAUCAAAGUAUCACGAGUUUGUUAUAUAAUCGCAAACAAAUUCUUUAAUAAAACGAUGCAUUUAUGUAUUUUUGAUUUGAAAAUUUGGUAUAACUCCAAUUACUCAGGUAUGAUCCAAUUCAAGGACAUUGCCA
rnacentral:rRNA from 1 species